GUCAGAGUCAGAGUGUUGUGGACUGACGUGCGGCUCAGGCUAUGGUUUGAUACUUGGUUAAACAGUAACCUGAGCGGCGUUUGAUUACUUCUGUUCUCGCUCGUAACUCGCUAGAGAACAGCUGACAGUGUGUCAGCCUUUGUGUUCAGGAGUACUCUCCCAUUGUCAUUCAUGUGAACGAACUAGAUACCUAACCUCCCAACAUGGGAAGCGGAGAAGCAGCUCCAGGUGUUAGACCCGCCCCUUAGGUCUCCCUCCAGGUGUUAGACCCGCCCCAUAGGUCUCCCUCAAGGUGUUAGAUAUGGCCUGCAGGUGGGCCUCCAGGUGUUAGACAGGGCCUGCAGGUCUCCCUCCAGGGCUCCCUCCAGCUGUUUGACAGGGGCUCUAGGUCUCCAUCCAGGUGUUAGACAGGGCCUGUAGAUCGCCCUUCAGGUGUUAGAAUGGGCCUUGAGGUGUUAGACAGGGCCUCCAGGUCUCCCUCCAGGUGAUAGACAGGGUCUGUAGGUCUCUCUCCAGGUGUUAGACAGGCUCCGUAGGUACCCCUCCAGGUGUUAGACAGGGCCUCUAGGUCACCCUCAAGGGCUUAGAAAGGGCCUGCAGGUGUCCCUCCUGGUGUAAGACGGGGCCUCCAGGUGUUAGACCGAGCCCUCACUUUCAUUCCAACCAAAUAAUGACAGUUGGGAAACGCACAAACACGUGAUCAUUUUUAAACGAAAAGGGGCGUGGUCGUCAUGAAAAGACUGUAUUUUCACCAAGUCAGCGUCACAGCCUCAGACACAUGACCAUAUGUGGACUUGACGUUCAGGUUCUCUAGAGAGUGUUCAGGCUAAUCUUUAUCUCUUUAAAUCGACUUCCCCAUUACUGCGUGACACAGAUGAGUCAGGCCUGUGAGAAAGCGGUACUCUCUCCCUGGGUCUGUGUCCUCGUGGAUGGGCUGGGCCUCGUUCUCCUGCCAACACAAGCAGAAGGCGAUCAACAGAACAGUUGUAAUGCUGAACGAGAAAACGUGGAAUGGCUGAGGGAUUCCUAGUGGUCCAGAGACCAGCCGCACUGCUCUGGCCCGCUGGUUAAUGAGUAGAGAUUAGAUGAUGAGUUGGUGUAACCAACGGUCCGUGUG
ensembl:lncRNA